UGGCGACCGGCGCACGGGUGAGUAACACGUAUCCAACCUGCCGAUAACUCGGGGAUAGCCUUUCGAAAGAAAGAUUAAUAUCCGAUAGCAUAUUGAGAUCGCAUGAUUUUGAUAUUAAAGAAUUUCGGUUAUCGAUGGGGAUGCGUUCCAUUAGUUUGUUGGCGGGGUAACGGCCCACCAAGACUACGAUGGAUAGGGGUUCUGAGAGGAAGGUCCCCCACAUUGGAACUGAGACACGGUCCAA
rnacentral:rRNA from 1 species